rnacentral:rRNA from 1 species
GAUGAACGCUGGCGGCGUGCCUAAUACAUGCAAGUCGAGCGAAUGGAUUNAAGAAGCUUGCUUCUCAAGAAGUUAGCGGGCGGACGGGUGAGUAACACGUGGGGUAACCUUGCCCCAUAAGACUGGGAUAACUCCGGGAAACCGGGGCUAAUACCGGAUAACAUUUUGAACUGCAUGGUUCGAAAUUGAAAGGCGGCUUCGGCUGUCACUUAUGGAUGGACCCGCGUCGCAUUAGCUAGUUGGUGAGGUAACGGCUCACCAAGGCAACGAUGCGUAGCCGACCUGAGAGGGUGAUCGGCCACACUGGGACUGAGACACGGCCCAGACUCCUACGGGAGGCAGCAGUAGGGAAUCUUCCGCAAUGGACGAAAGUCUGACGGAGCAACGCCGCGUGAGUGAUGAAGGCUUUCGGGUCGUAAAACUCGUGUUGUUAGGGAAGAACAAGUGCGUAGUUGAAUAAGCGUGGCACCUUGACGGUC